AACGAACGCUGGCGGCAUGCCUAACACAUGCAAGUCGAACGAGACCUUCGGGUCUAGUGGCGCACGGGUGCGUAACGCGUGGGAACCUUCCCUUAGGUUCGGAAUAACUCCCCGAAAGGGGUGCUAAUACCGGAUAAUGUCUUCGGACCAAAGAUUUAUCGCCUUUGGAUGGGCCCGCGUUGGAUUAGCUAGUUGGUAGGGUAAAAGCCUACCAAGGCGACGAUCCAUAGCUGGUCUGAGAGGGUGAUCAGCCACACUGGGACUGAGACACGGCCCAGACGCCGACGGGAGGCAGCAGGAGGGAAUCUGCCGCAAUGGGCGAAAGCCUGAGGGAGCAACACCGCGUGGGUGAUGAAGGUCUUCGGAUCGGAAAACUCUGUUAUGAGGGAAGAACAAAUGCUUAAGUAACUAUGCACGUCAUGACGGGACCUAAUCAGAAAGCCACGGCUAACUUCGUG
rnacentral:rRNA from 1 species